UACGUAGGGGGCAAGCGUUGUCCGGAUUUAUUGGGCGUAAAGAGCGUGUAGGCGGCCAGGCAGGUCCGCUGUGAAAACUCGAGGCUCAACCUCGAGAGGUCGGUGGAAACCGUCUGGCUAGAGUCCGGAAGAGGAGAGUGGAAUUCCCGGUGUAGCGGUGAAAUGCGCAGAUAUCGGGAGGAACACCAGUGGCGAAGGCGGCGACCUGGACGGACAUUGACGCUGAGACGCGAAAGCGUGGGGAGCAAACAGG
rnacentral:rRNA from 1 species